AAGGAAUAUUGGACAAUGGAGGCAACUCUGAUCCAGCCAUGCCGCGUGAAGGAAUAAGGCCCUAUGGGUUGUAAACUUCUUUUAGACGGGACAAAACCCCUUUACGUGUAAAGGGUUGAUGGUACUGUCAGAAUAAGCAUCGGCUAACUUCGUGCCAGCAGCCGCGGUAAUACGAAGGAUGCAAGCGUUAUCCGGAAUUAUUGGGUUUAAAGGGUGCGUAGGCGGACUAAUAAGUCAGUGGUGAAAGCCUGCAGCUUAACUGCAGAAUUGCCAUUGAUACUGUUAGUCUUGAGUACAGUUGAGGUAGGCGGAAUGUGUCAUGUAGCGGUGAAAUGCUUAGAUAUGACACAGAACACCGAUUGCGAAGGCAGCUUGCUAAGCUAUAACUGACGCUGAGGCACGAAAGCGUGGGGAGCAAACA
rnacentral:rRNA from 1 species